GUGAACCCGUAUAUACGAAGAUUGCAUUUACCAUUUAUUCUGCUUGACUAAUUCUAUUAAUAAACAGCUGAAAAUAUAUUCAGUAGCCUAGUGUUACAUUUUGUUCUGAUACCAGAAUUGAAUUGACGCAGCCCUAACAGGUGAAAGUCGAAAACAUCAAUGCCGAGGGUGGAUUCGAGAGACUGUAUGUUACACCUGUCCUCUUUGCCUUGCGAUUCAACGUUAAAUUUGAAAAAUAACGUGGUACUUAACAACAUAAUUGAAAAGUACCACAGUAAACGUGCAAGCGGUGUCGACUGCACUGUCUGCAAAGGUGAGCAGAGGAUGUUCGCAGAAAAGAGUUGUCAGCUGCGAAGAGUCAUAUUGCACCGUCCACAUCAUACCACACUUAGAACGCUGUACUGCGCCAACACGUUCUGGUGAGCCCGAUGGGCGACACUGGCAGACUCUGCAAAGAGCACGGGAAGUUUACUGCGAGACAGACCAGACCCCCCUGUGUGCCUACUGCACGCUACCUGCCGAGGCCAAGCACACGGAUGGGCACAACGUCGUGAAACUGGAAGAUGCGCUGGAUACUUUAAGGGUGAGGUGGUGUCUCAUAUUUUCAUUUUGGUCACUUGUGCAUUCAUGGAAGAUACUUUGAGUUUGUGCUAUUUUUCAUCGUUUAAGUUAUAUGGUGAUUGGAAUCUAAACUUUCAUAGUAUUUCCACAUAGUAUUUCCACAACAACCGGCAACAGUUCUCUUUCAAUCACCCACGUGGGUAAAACCAAUGAGGAGAUGGCACGUGGUACUUCUAUAAACCAAUGAGGAGAUGGGAGAGGCAGGACUUGCAGCGUGAUCUGUGUCAGAAAUAGGAAUGACUUCUAUUUUAGCCCUUGGCAACGCAGACUCUCGUUGGAGCACGCGAUCAGUGUGGGUGCAAUAGCUGAGGCUGACGACGCCACUCGUGUCAUGUGCGUUGCAAAAUGAUUUUAGAAAUCUAUGUUAUUCAAUUAUUGCACUCACACUGCUCAAAGCAUCUGCAUAGCCAGGCUCUAAAAUAGAACUUGGUUCUAUUUGUGAUGCUUGACGCACUGCAAGUCCUGCCUCUCCAAUCUCCUCAUUGGGUGACUGAAAGAUGAACUGAGGUCCACACUCCAGUCCAGUUGGAGGUGGUAAUGAACCUUAAAGUUCUUUGCCAACUGCCAUAUGAAGUCCAAAAAAGAAGCGGUAGAGAUUACUAGAAACCACCUCGGUUUACCCUUUUAUCUGUGUAUUAAUUGUCGAAGUAGAAGACCUUGUGCAGUUCAAGUAAAAUAACAACCCAAUGUUCAUAUACCAGGACAAAUUAGCUUGCAAUAGCAAGGUAGCUAAAUUGCCAUAAUUGUUUGCUUUUUAACCUGUCCCCAAAUUAAUAUAGGUGGUUCUGAUUUUUCAACCUGCGUGUCUUGAUUGUGUCUGGUGUGUGUGGACAAAAUCAACGUGUGUGUGUGUGUGUGUGUGUGUGAGCGGUCUGGUCAGCAUGUUACUGUGCAUUAUUUUCAAUUGUGGUUUUGUCACAUCUUUUUUUUCUACCCGUAUCUCCUUUACAUACAAUUAUUAACUAUGCUCUUCCCUGAUGUUUUCCCAAACUUUACAAUGCCUCUGAUGCUUUUCACUCAUGUUGUGGUGCAAAUAUUUGUUUUACUCCUUCCCAUAUUCAAGUCAUUUACCAUGUUUUCCUUUUUAGCCUCAUGAACAUAACUUGGUUGCAGUUUGUAUCUGUGCUAGAAUUGUUAAAGUCCAUAAAAUAUAUCAGUAUUGUCGAUAUUGCAUAGGAAAAUAACAGAUAGGUAUUGGCCCAGAAUUUAUGAAUCCCUAACUUGAAAGUGUAAAAAAGACUAUGUACACUGAACAAAUAUAUAAAUGCAAAAACAGUUCAUAUGAGGAAAUCUGUCAAUUGACCUGUAUUAGGCCCUAAUCUAUGGAUUUCACAUGACGGAAUAGAUAUGCAUCUGUUGGUCACAGAUACCUUAAAUAAAAGGUAGGGGUGUGGAUCAGAAAACCAGUCCGUAUCUGGUGUGACCACCAUUUACCUCUUUUGCGUCGAGUUGACCAGGCUGUUGAUUGUGGCAUGUUGUCCCACUAAUUUUCAAUGGGUGAUGUGACAGGUGAGUAUGUCGGCCAUGGAAGAACAUGGACACAGCAUCCAGGAAUUCUGUACAGAUCCUUGCGACAUGGCGCUGUGCAUUAUCAUACGAUAAAAUGCAAUUGUGUUUGUUGGCCAUAGCUUAUGCUUGCCCAUAAUAACCCUACCACCAUGGGGCACUUUGUUCACAACGCUGACAUCAGCACGACACCAUAUAUGCUGUCAGUUGAAAUCGGGAUUCAUCCAUGAAGAGCACACUUCUCCAGCGUGCCAGUGGCCAUCGAAGGUGAGUGUUUGCCCACUGAAGUCGGUUACGACGCUGAACUGCAGUCAGGUCAAGACCCUGGUGAGUACAACAAGCAUGCAGAUGCGCUUCCCUGAGACUGUUUCUGACAGUUUGUGCAGAAAUGCUUCAGUUGUUCAGUUUCAUAAACUGGCUGGUCUCAGAUGAUCCCCUAGGUUAAGAAGCUGGAUGUGGGUGGCUGGUGUGGUUACAUGUGGUCUGUGGUUGAGGCCAUUUGGACGUACUGACGUUCUCUAAAAGAUAAUGUUGGACGUGGUUUUUGGUAGAGAAACAAACAUUAAAUUCUCUGGCAACGGCUCUGGUGGUCAUUCCUGCAGUCAGAAAGACCAUUGCACGCUCCCUCAACUUGAAACAUCUGUGGCAUUGUGUUAUGACAGAACUGCACAUUUGAUUGUCCUCAGUGCAAGGUGCACCUGUACUGAUCAGGCUGUUGAAUCCGCUUCAUAUGCCACACCUGUCAGGUGUAUGGAUUACCUUGGCAAAGGAGAAAUGCUUACUAAGAGGGAUGUGAACCAAUUGUUUACAAUCUUUGCGAAAUAAGCUUUUUUUGCAUAUGGAACAUUUCUGUGACCUUUUUAUUUCCGCUCAUGAAACAUGGGAACGGCAAUUUAGUUUUAUUUUUUAACUGCUCGCAAAUUGCUUUUGGUGAACAAAUCAGUCUGAAAAUGUUUCAAUCUGUGCUGUACUCUGUUGAACUUUUGAAAUCCUGACAUAGCCCUCGAGUCAAGAUUAUUGCUCACCCUUGUUCUGUGGCAACGCAAAUACCUUUUUAGUAGUGAGGGGCAUUUGAAUGAUUCUUCUUUCACCUAGUAGAGCUGGUUCCGAACAGCUUUGUUCAGUAGCCAUGAUUGUUAAAUAGACAUGGGCGGGGGCCUAAGACUGGCUUCUGCCUGGGGCCUCCGCCUGGGGCCUCCAAGUCAAUAACUCCGCCCCGGUGUGAAUGCAGCAUUUGUCUGGUUUAACCAGGCUACACUUCUGACGGGCACCCAUUUUCAUAACAGGCCAGUCUGGAGAGGCAGCAAAGUGAGUGCACAGCCUUCCUGUGCAGAAUCAAGCUGUUCCUGGAGUUUGAGGAGCAGGCGUGGCAGAAGAGAUUCUCUGUGGACAUGGUGCAGGAAAGGGAAGCAGCGGACAGGGGAGCUGAUGAGGCUGCAGGACAGGCUGACAGGCACAGAACACCCUGCUGAAGACUCAGACCAUCAGAGACCCCCUGGUGCUGCUCCAGGUAGAGCAAAAGCAUGAUUAGGGCAUAAUAAAAAAUGUAUAUUAAAAGAAAGACUGAACGCUGACGUGAAACAAUGGUGAGCACAGCAUUGUCUGGUUUGUCCAGGCUAGGAGUGUACUGGGACGUAAGUCUAAAUGAGAGUUGAAAUUCGGCACCACAAAAAACAAAAACAGAAGGCAGCGCACCCAGUGCCGCUUAUGCUAAUAAUCAAUUCAUUAAGCGUAUGGCUACGUUUCAUAAUGAUUUAUUUUAACUGUUCGAUUUCAUUUCAUUAAACGGCUCUUGAAGAAUGAGUGGUAAGUUUAAAUUAUUUUUAUGACUGCAUUAUAGCUGAAGACACCACCCACAAUUCCCUCAAAGUAGAAUAAUUAAAUGUCAUGCCUUUUUCUUUUUUUAAAUGACCCAGCACCACAGUAUUUAUUUGACACAUUUCUUUACAAGUAUGUAAAUAAUUGCUGCAAGAGACUGUACAUAUGCUACACAUUAUGUUCAUCUCGCUAAAUUCUGAACUUCAGUGAUCUUAAAUUUCCCCGUUGCAGGGCAGACCUGCUUCAAAGGGACGUUUGUUCCCGUCAGAUGAAGAUCAGUAAUUGGAGUGGAACCAAACUUGUGGCUUCAUCUAGAAUCACCCCCCCUAUUCCAGACUCUCCAGAAAACAUUUCAAGGAGAUGUCAUUUUCUUUGCUGAAUUAAGUGCCCACCCCAAACUGAAGUUGGACUCUGGCUCUGUGUGGGUGACUGAGGAGGACCAGCGACAUGAGGAACCAUGUUACCUGGAUCGGCCUUACUGUGUGAUGGGAGUCAUUAUCUCCUCCAAGGGUGUGCACAAUUGGGAGGUGGGAGUAGAGGGGCUCUUCUCUUGGGCCCUCGGUGUAGCCUUCCUUGGCCCAUACCAGAUAGCGGUGACCUGCAAGCUCGGCACUGAUGACCAGUCUUGGAGUCUGAGUUAGAGCAAGCAGCAGUUCUCUGCCCAGCAUGACUGGCUGGCAUUUACGUUCCAUGCACCGGACUCCAACCCACCCAGACGGAGCGGGGUCUUUCUGGGUGUGGACAGUGGAAUCCUGAGCUUCUACGAUGCAGUGAGGAUGGUGUGUCUCUACACUUUCUAAUGUACGCUGGAUCAGGACUCAGCCAGCCAAACUUACCUCAGACCAGCCUUCUGCCCUAGGCUGAAGGAGGACGACCAGCCACUGUCGACUAGGCCGAUGAGGGUGCUGCGACCAGUCUCAAACUUUUAGGCACUACAACCAACGGCAUCCUUCACACUAAUAGUUGCACUAGCAGCUAGCUAACAUACUUUUCUUCUUGUUCCAAAUGCUUGGUUUGAACCACUCACCAUUGAUUGUUUGAAAUGAAGUAAAUAUGGAGAAUCUGUUUUUGUAAAGCCGCUCAAACUGUUACACAGCUUAAAAUGACGCUACAGUUUGGCAAAAUCCCAAAAUGUAGUAAGUUGUCUGAGCCUUUGAAUGUCGUAAGUGAACUAAUUAGAUAAAUAUAUGCAGUGUGCAUAGCAUCUGAGCAUCAGCAAUGUAUUGUGCCUUUUCCUACAUGUUUCCUACCAGAAUAGACUACCAAAUCUACAAAUGCUUAUUGACAAGUGUUUAGUUUACAUUUUUUGUGGUCCUCUGUUGGAUUGUUCCUCUAACACGGCAUUAAAAUACCUUGGUCCUAUUA